rnacentral:rRNA from 1 species
CUACGGGUCGCUCCAGUGAGGAAUAUUGGGCAAUGGGGGCAACCCUGACCCAGCCAUGUCGCGUGCAGGAAGACUGCCCUAUGGGUUGUAAACUGCUUUUUUACGGGAAUAAAUGCCCUACGUGUAGGGAUUUGCAUGUACCGUAGGAAUAAGCACCGGCUAACUCCGUGCCAGCAGCCGCGGUAAUACGGAGGGUGAAAGUGUUAUCCGGAUUCAUUGGGUUUAAAGGGUGCGUAGGUGGAAUUAUAAGUCAGUGGUGAAAUUUUGCGGCUCAACCGUAACACUGCCAUUGAAACUGUAGUUCUUGAGAUAGUUCGAGGUUAGCGGAAUGAGUAAUGUAGCGGUGAAAUGCAUAGAUAUUACUCAGAACACCGAUUGCGUAGGCAGCUGACCAGGCCUUAUCUGACACUGAUGCACGAAAGCGUGGGGAGCGAACAGGAUUAGAUACCCGGGUAGUC